CUGCAGCCCACCGCGAGUGGGCCCUGGGAGGCGCUGUUCUCAGAGGUGGGCCGCGGGGUGACCCUCUACCGCACCCCCGCCGUGGUGGGCCUGGCCCGCCGGGGCAUCCCUGCCCACCUCCGCCCCCAUAUAUGGGCCAUAUACUCAGGGGCGGCGAACGAGCGGGCCUCCCAACCUAGCGACUACUACGCGGCGGCGGUGGCGGGGGCGGCGGCGGGAGCGGUGGGCGCCGCCGCCGAGGAGAUCGAGCGAGACCUCCACCGCUCCCUCCCCGAGCACCCCGCCUUCUGCUCCCCGGUGGGCAUAGGCGCCCUCAGGCGCGUCCUUAGCGCCUACGCCUGGCGCAACCCCGCCAUCGGUUACUGCCAGGCUAUGAACAUCGUGGCGUCCGUAU